GUCUGGAAAGGCGUGCGAUACAGGGUGACAGCCCCGUACACAAAAAUGCACAUACUGUGAGCUCGAUGAGUAGGGCGGGACACGUGGUAUCCUGUCUGAAUAUGGGGGGACCAUCCUCCAAGGCUAAAUACUCCUGACUGACCGAUAGUGAACCAGUACCGUGAGGGAAAGGCGAAAAGAACCCCGGCGAGGGGAGUGAAAAAGAACCUGAAACCGUGUACGUACAAGCAGUGGGAGCCUCUUUUAUGGGGUGACUGCGUACCUUUUGUAUAAUGGGUCAGCGACUUAUAUUCUGUAGCAAGGUUAACCGAAUAGGGGAGCCGAAGGGAAACCGAGUCUUAACUGGGCGUUAAGUUGCAGGGUAUAGACCCGAAACCCGGUGAUCUAGCCAUGGGCAGGUUGAAGGUUGGGUAACACUAACUGGAGGACCGAACCGACUAAUGUUGAAAAAUUAGCGGAUGACUUGUGGCUGGGGGUGAAAGGCCAAUCAAACCGGGAGAUAGCUGGUUCUCCCCGAAAGCUAUUUAGGUAGCGCCUCGUGAAUUCAUCUCCGGGGGUAGAGCACUGUUUCGGCAAGGGGGUCAUCCCGACUUACCAACCCGAUGCAAACUGCGAAUACCGGAGAAUGUUAUCACGGGAGACACACGGCGGGUGCUAACGUCCGUCGUGAAGAGGGAAACAACCCAGACCGCCAGCUAAGGUCCCAAAGUCAUGGUUAAGUGGGAAACGAUGUGGGAAGGCCCAGACAGCCAGGAUGUUGGCUUAGAAGCAGCCAUCAUUUAAAGAAAGCGUAAUAGCUCACUGGUCGAGUCGGCCUGCGCGGAAGAUGUAACGGGGCUAAACCAUG
rnacentral:rRNA from 1 species